UACGGGGGGUGCAAGCGUUGUUCGGAAUUACUGGGCGUAAAGGGCGCGUAGGCGGCGCAACAAGUCACUUGUGAAAUCUCCGGGCUUAACCCGGAGCGGCCAAGUGAUACUGUCGUGCUAGAGUGCGGAAGGGGCUACUGGAAUUCUCGGUGUAGCGGUGAAAUGCGUAGAUAUCGAGAGGAACACCUGCGGCGAAGGCGGGUAGCUGGGCCGACACUGACGCUGAGGCGCGAAAGCCAGGGGAGCGAACGGG
rnacentral:rRNA from 1 species